rnacentral:rRNA from 1 species
UUCCGAACACAGAAGUUAAGCUCUCUAGCGCUGAUGGUACUUGGUGGGAAACUGCCUGGGAGAGUAGGACGUAGCCAUGU